rnacentral:rRNA from 1 species
UUGGAGGGCAAGUCUGGUGCCAGCAGCCGCGGUAAUUCCAGCUCCAAUAGCGUAUAUUAAAGUUGCUGCAGUUAAAAAGCUCGUAGUUGAAUUUCGGGACCAUCAUGUCGGUCGUGCCUCGGUACGUACUGGUAUUGUUGGUUUCUCCCUUCUGACGAACCAUGAUGUCAUUUAUUUGGUGUUGUGGGGAGUCAGGACUGUUACUUUGAAAAAAUUAGAGUGUUUAAAGCAGGCUCACGCUUGAAUACAUUAGCAUGGAAUAAUGAAAUAGGACGUUUGAUUCUAUUUUGUUGGUUUCUAGGAUCGACGUAAUGAUUAAUAGGGAUAGUUGGGGGCAUUAGUAUUCAAUUGUCAGAGGUGAAAUUCUUGGAUUUAUUGAAGACUAACUACUGCGAAAGCAUUUGCCAAGGAUGUUUUCAUUAAUCAAGAACGAAAGUUAGGGGAUCGAAGACGAUCAGAUACCGUCGUAGUCUUAACCAUAAACUAUGCCGACUAGGGAUCGGAUGAUGUUAAUUUUUUAAUGACUCAUUCGGCGCCUUACGGGAAAC